rnacentral:rRNA from 1 species
AUGCUUAGACAGAAUAAGGGCUCAUCAAGUGCAGCUCCAGCUAAAUCCAAGGAUCCCUCAAAUCAGGCACCCCCUACUCAGACGGUGCCUGCUACUCCUGCCUCUCAAGCACCAGCCACACCAGCACCUCAAGCAGUGGCUGCGCCAUCACCUAUUGUACCUGUCAGUGCUCCUGGUACAGCUGCCACCGCCUCCCCAGCUCCUGCUGUUGCUGUCUCCACUGAAGCAGAAACUUAUGGUCAGGCUGCUUCAAACCUUGUUGCGGGAGGCGCCCUAGAGGCAACAAUUCAGUCAAUUCUUGAAAUGGGCGGUGGACAUGGGACAGAGACACUGAAUUGCUGCUCGUGA